rnacentral:rRNA from 1 species
GAUCCUGGCUCAGGAUGAACGCUGGCGGCGUGCCUAACACAUGCAAGUCGAACGAAGCACCUUACCUGAUUCUUCGGAUGAAAGUUUGGUGACUGAGUGGCGGACGGGUGAGUAACGCGUGGGUAACCUGCCCUGUACAGGGGGAUAACAGCUGGAAACGGCUGCUAAUACCGCAUAAGCGCACGAGGAGACAUCUCCUUGUGUGGAAAACUACCGGUGGUACAGGAUGGCCCGGCCGU